rnacentral:rRNA from 1 species
UACGUAGGGGGCAAGCGUUGUCCGGAAUUAUUGGGCGUAAAGCGCGUGUAGGCGGCCAGAUAAGUCCGCUGUGAAAUCUCGAGGUUCAACUUCGAGCUGUCGGUGGAAACUGUCUGGCUAGAGUCCGGAAGAGGAGAAUGGAAUUCCUGGUGUAGCGGUGAAAUGCGCAGAUAUCAGGAAGAACACCCGUGGCGAAGGCGGUUCUCUGGGACGGUACUGACGCUGAGACGCGAAGGCGUGGGGAGCGAACGGG